UACAGAGGUGGCAAGCGUUGUUCGGAAUUACUGGGCGUAAAGGGCGCGUAGGCGGCCAUCUAAGUCAGACGUGAAAUCCCUCGGCUUAACCGGGGAACGGCCUCUGAUACUGGAUGGCUUGGAUUUGGGAGAGGGAUGCGGAAUUCCAGGUGUAGCGGUGAAAUGCGUAGAUAUCUGGAGGAACACCGGUGGCGAAGGCGGCAUCCUGGACCAAUAUUGACGCUGAGGAGCGAAAGCCAGGGGAGCAAACGGG
rnacentral:rRNA from 1 species